ensembl:lncRNA
UUCUCAAAGGACUUAGGUGACCCCCCAGAUCCUGCUUUUCUUGGGACUGCUGGAGCCUUUUCCAAUCUCUGGCCCUGCCAUCAGAGAUCCUGCACGAGAGCCUGUUCUUUUGGAUGGCACAUCUCACUGUUAGAGUGGUUCCCUCUGGGGUCACCUUUCCUUCCCAGAGGACACCAAGGCAGAGCUCCAAUGAGCAGACUCCAUUUAGGGGGGAGGGGCGGGGGUAGCAGGAGAAGUGGUCCUCUUUCAGUGAUGGGAUAUAAUGCCAGGAAUAUGGAAUUAUAUUUCUCUCCUGCUUGGGACUCCCUGUUCAGCCCUUUUCUGGCUCUACCGCCAGCCUGUGUCCCUAGGUGCCAGGCCUGGCAGUCUUUCUUUAUCUGCCCCCAGCCUAGGGAGUUCAUCCAAAGUCCCAUCCCCACCUAUCCUGGUUGUGCAGACAGUUUAAGGGAAGAGUUCAGUACCACUUCUGGGCAAGAGGCCUCUUGAAAAUCAAGGUUAGGAUAUUCUUUCCUGGGCCACAUAGCAAGGGCCCUUAGGGUGGGCAGAGAGUGGACCUCAAUACAUUUGGAGUGCAGCUGAUGCCUCUUGGGGCCCCUUCAGUCUCUCCUCCUUCCUGGGAGCGGCUCUGGCAUCUGGGUUCCUUCAGGGAACCCUAGCUCAUGGAAGCUCUCUGAGCAGGAAUUCCCAGGACUGGCUUUUUCCAGCCCAGUGAGGAAGGACAGUGUCCAGAGUCUCAAUUUACCCAGAAACCAAAUUCCUUACAGGUUUUUAAGAAGGCCCCCACCCCACCUCUUCUCCCCGACCUCUUCUUCAGGACUGUUACCACCACCAUUGAAAGUCCUUGGAAAAACCCCAACAAAUUGGCCCAAAGUAGUCUUCCGUUCUCCCUGGUGCUUAGCCUUCCUACUAGACAGAGUUUGCUCUUCCCCAUCUGCACUCUGUCAUUCAUCUACAGAAGCCCAGCAUUGAGGGCAGGGGCCAAGGAAGAUUGGAGGGAGGUAGACACUUUCUCCUUUAAUCAUGUCGCCUGGCUGUCCUAAGACUAGAAAGUAAUUGAAGUUGUCUGCCUCAGUGUCUUCCUUUCUUUUCUCCUUUUCCCCUACGCAUAGCUAGUUACUUUGCUGUUAUUAUCUAAAUGUACAGAGUAUACUAUAUAGUUUUAUUCUUACGAAAGCCACAGUGAAUACUGCAGGCAAGUCCCAGUUACCAUCCUUCAUCACCAUUCAUUCAAAAAAUAUCUACUGAGCCCUGAAUAGGUGUCUGACAUUGUUUCAAACACCAUUCUCUCAGCCUGGUCUUCUCUUUACAUGGCCCCUCCCCCAUAAAAAGCUCAUAACAAUUGCCUAGAAUGUCAUAGGUCCUUUGAUUCAUCCUCUUUUAUUAACUUAAGGAAAAAUAAAGAAGGCUUUUCCCAGCCCCUCAAACUUUUGUUAUUUUUUACAGUGGAUUAACGGGGGCUUGUCUUGAAGCUGCUCACCUAGUGCUAAUAGAGUCAGAAAACAUUUUUUUUAAGGAUUGAUCUUUACUCAUAUUUUAAAAACAGAUGCUACCAACUGUAAAAGAAAAAGGUACUCCUAAGUGGCUAAUGGCACGGGGAGGGAAGAAACAGAUGCCAUACAGUCCGGGCUAAUAGCCCCCUGCUUUCUAGCCAGUGAAAGUGAAAUCAAGAAAUGGGUUUAGAAAUGCACAGAGAAUGGGUGGAAAUUAGGAUGCAAAGAGAUUUUUGUGGAAAGGAGUCUCUUUCAAGGGCUUGAUGGGAUUGCUGAUGAGAACUUUUACCACUGAAUUUGAUUUAGAAAUCAUAGACAUAUAUGUGCUCUACAAAGCUACACAGAACACCCAUUCUUUUAAUCGGAAUAGUAAAAAUCAUACGUUUUCACACUGUUUGGUAGCAACUCUGCCAGGCUAUGGAAGGAUGUCGGGUGUCAAUUCUCUUCUCACUCACUCCCCUUGGUGGGAGCUGGGGGCGUCUUCCCCACCCCCGCCUACCUCAGGCGUAGCGUGGCACAUUCUACUCCACGGAUCAGUGCUGGGCCCAAGCUCCUUCUCUUGGCUUUCACAGCAGGAGAGCCCGCUGCCUCCCCCUCUCUUAGGCUCUCCCUCUGGUGCUGGUGGAAGGGUAAGGGUGGGGGAGAGAGAGGAUCCCACCCAGGUUUGGACUCCUAAGCCCUGUGGUUGGGACACUAUGGGACUGGGGACAUCUGACUUCCUGGGCUUGGGUUCCUUGAGAGCCUCAUUUACUUCCUCACACCCUGUCCCCUUCACACCAGGGCUGCUUUUAUUGUUUUAUAACCUUCUUUAGAGCUUCAGUCGCCAAAGAUGCCGAUGGGGCUAUUCUCUACUUUCUCACUUUACCAAACCCCAAGUCUUGCUGUUUUAAGCAGUUUGGUCACUUGAAAAGGCUUCCCUUCCAGAUCUAAGCAAAUUAUAGAAACCCCUAGGCAUGUGGCUACCUUCAACUUUCGCUGAGCUCAUUCGCAACAAUACAGAGCCAAGUGUUAACUCCAGCUGCCCCGCCACCCCCCAAGCCCACCCAGCAUCUCCCCAACCACCCUUUUCUUAUCGAAGCUAAAACAAAAUCCCAAAUAACUUCUGGUAUAAGCAAGUAAGAAGUGGCCUUUGGCUUUCCUCUUUAUUACCACAUCCAAAGCUAAAAAAUGAUUGAAAUAGAGGAGUGGAUGGUACUCACAGCGGAUGCAGCCAAAGAAUCAUAAGACAUGCCCAUCAACCAGCCUUUUCCAAAUAGCACUAUCUCCCAGUUUCAAUAGACAUCCCUGAAAAGAUGCUAUUUGAAAAGCCUGGGGUAUUGAUAUGAAUAUGACUCCCCCCUUGCAUCCUAGAUAUUUGGAACUAUUUAAAUGUGAGGGAACAGUUGCAGUGAACCUUUAUUUAGUGAAUAAAAGUUUAAAGCGGAAGGUUAUUUAUGGUUCUGCCAGAGAUGGAACCUGAGUGGCUAUUUACGAACACGUGAUCCCAAUAAACUUUGUUUUAUGGCUUGAGAGUUGACAAGCCAAAAUAUAAUUCCCACCAUAAAUUAGGUUAAGAGCAUACAAGUGCAGAUGCUUGGUUCCUGAAGCAGCAAUAGAAAAGUGAGAGGCUCCAGCUAGCGCCAGGCGCAGGAGACAGGUCUACUCCCAGCUCCCCUGCCCACUAGGAGAGAAAACCAGUAAGUCACUUAUUACUUUUUCCAGGACAACUCCAGGGGUGGGGGAUUUCUCUGCCCCAUCUUUUCCACCUGGUGUGGGGAGAAGUCCCCUGGAAGUUAAUUUUAAUUUUAGCUUAAACCUAAAUCAAGAAAUAGGAUGGAAAUCCUGGUUUUCUCCUCUCCCUUCUAGACAUAGAAAGUUAGGAAUUGAGGGCUCCCACCUCACAAGAGGGACUUUCUGUCUCUCUCCUCCUCAUAAUGGGGCAUCUGCUUCUGAAGUGGAAUAAAACGGGUAGUCUAGGUGGACAGAGAGAAAGGAUAAGGAUGGAGAUGGCUCUGCCUUUGUGAUUUCUCAGAGAAGACUGCCAUCCCAGAAUAAAACUAGAGGAGACUGAAAACUUAAAGCUGGACACGAGCCCCUCUUACUGUGUGAGUAAGAUCACUUUGUGGGUCCUCCAGCAAAAAUGCUGAUGAAAUGAUGUCAUAUCCAUAGAGCUGGAUAAGAGUCUAAAGCAUUGCCAUUUACCUUUAAACCCAUCGGUUUUCCUCUUCCUUGAUUAUCAUUUGGGUCCUCAUUUCCCUUGGAAAUUGCUCUUUGUUUUGAAUUAGAGCAGAAGUGGGAAGGCAAGUCCUAGCCUUGUCUGGUACUUCUUUGGGAAGGAAAAGACACUUUUAGGGGAGCGCUGGUUGGAGCUGGGGAAUUUGAAACCAAUCUGAAAUUGGAAAAGGGGUCUGAGUUGCUCCUAGCGCGAGACAGACGGGGAGCUGGGGCUGGGGACAGAUGCAGCGGCUAACCCCCUCCCCAGUGGACCUGCGCCCACCCCGCCGAUUGUGCAGAAGAAAACACACAAAGGCCCGUUUUCUCCUCGCUUCCCGUUUUCCCACGGGGGAAAACCCUGUUACAGACAGCCUGAGUCAGGCCAAGCAAAAAGUAAGGUUUUGCUCAAGGGGUGCAUAGAGUGGGGGAGGUGAUGGGGGCCAUACUCUCCUACCUCGUGGGUCUGCCCUUGAGCACUGCAGUCUCCCGCUCCGCGCGCGGAGAACUUGGCGCAGUUCCUGGGGGCAGGCGUCCAAAGCAGGAGGGAGGUCUGGGUAUUGGCGGGGUGUCUGGGCCUUGUCAUUUUUCUGUGUAUCAUCUAUCUUUAUUAUCCUGUGGAAUUUAAGUGACCCCCGUUUUCAUUGCAACAGGUUCGGCACCGUGAGAAACCGCCGCUGUAAGUACCUUCCCGUUUCUUCCGAAUCGAGAAGGGGCGGUAUUGAUAACUGGGGUGGUAGGGGCGAAGGGCCGCGCCAGGGGAGUGGGCGGGUGGAAGAGCAGCCCUGCCUCCCCAGGCCUGACUGUGAGAGGGGAGCUCGAGCUGGAGGUGGAGGAUCUAAGUCGGACUCCUGGAAAAAUUUUCUGGGGCCUGGUUUACAGUCACCUAAAGUAAGGGAACGGGCCGCGGCCUCUCGCCCUUGUCUCCUUGGACCUCCCUGGACUUUCCCGGCCUUCCCAGGCCUCCCCAGCUCGCACAGGUGCAGCUCCGCCGCAGCGAACGCGUCUGUGAAGAGCUUGCAGCUAAUUAGCAGCCCGCCCUAUUAACAAGUCGCGGCGAGCAUCGCUCUCUGCUCGAAUCAACCUGCUGAACACCCAGGCAGCGCGAUCCCCCUUUGCCGCCCAGCCCAGCUCAACCCGGUUCAGCCUGGACCAACCUUCUCUAGUUUUUUUGU